rnacentral:tRNA from 2 species
GGCAUAGCUCAGUUGGUUAGAGCGCCAGAUUGUGACUCUGGAGGUCGUGGGUUCGACUCCCAUUGC